UACGAAGGGGGGCUAGCGUUGUUCGGAUUUACUGGGCGUAAAGCGCACGUAGGCGGAUCGUUAAGUCGGGGGGUGAAAUCCUGGAGCUCAACUCCAGAACUGCCUUCGAUACUGGCGAUCUUGAGUCCGGAAGAGGUGAGUGGAACUCCUAGUGUAGAGGUGGAAUUCGUAGAUAUUAGGAAGAACACCAGUGGCGAAGGCGGCUCACUGGUCCGGUACUGACGCUGAGGUGCGGAAAGCGUGGGGAGCAAACAGGGAUUAAGAAACC
rnacentral:rRNA from 1 species